UACGUAGGGCGCAAGCGUUGUCCGGAAUUAUUGGGCGUAAAGAGCUCGUAGGCGGCUUGUCACGUCGGUUGUGAAAGCCCGGGGCUUAACCCCGGGUCUGCAGUCGAUACGGGCAGGCUAGAGUGUGGUAGGGGAGACUGGAAUUCCUGGUGUAGCGGUGAAAUGCGCAGAUAUCAGGAGGAACACCGAUGGCGAAAGCAGGCUACUGGACCAUCACUGACUCUGAUCUGCGAAAGCUAGGGGAGCAAACAGG
rnacentral:rRNA from 1 species